UGCCCAGCAACUCCUAUCCCUACCUCCUCACGGUACCGGCCGGAAACUAUGAGCAACCUUAGAGAAGAUCGGGUAACCAACCCCGGUGGGAACUUUGGUCGUAGGCUGACAGGGAAGG
rnacentral:ribozyme from 1 species